GACGAACGCUGGCGGCGUGCUUAACACAUGCAAGUCGAACGGAAAGGCCCUGCUUUUGUGGGGUGCUCGAGUGGCGAACGGGUGAGUAACACGUGAGUAACCUGCCCUUGACUUUGGGAUAACUUCAGGAAACUGGGGCUAAUACCGGAUAGGAGCUCCUGCUGCAUGGUGGGGGUUGGAAAGUUUCGGCGGUUGGGGAUGGACUCGCGGCUUAUCAGCUUGUUGGUGGGGUAGUGGCUUACCAAGGCUUUGACCGGUAGCCGGCCUGAGAGGGUGACCGGCCACAUUGGGACUGAGGUACGGCCCAGACGCCUACGGGAGGCAGCAGUGGGGAAUAUUGCACAAUGGGCGGAAGCCUGAUGCAGCAACGCCGCGUGCGGGAUGACGGCCUUCGGGUUGUAAACCGCUUUCGCCUGUGACGAAGCGUGAGUGACGGUAAUGGGUAAAGAAGCACCGGCUAACUACGUG
rnacentral:rRNA from 1 species